rnacentral:rRNA from 1 species
AAGCCCCUGCUUUUCCGGGGUGCUCGAGUGGCGAACGGGUGACUUACACGUGAGUAACCUGCCCUUGACUUUGGGAUAACUUCAGGAAACUGGGGCUAAUACCGGAUAGGAGCUCCUGCUGCAUGGUGGGGGUUGGAAAGUUUCGGCGGUUGGGGAUGGACUCGCGGCUUAUCAGCUUGUUGGUGGGGUAGUGGCUUACCAAGGCUUUGACGGGUAGCCGGCCUGAGAGGGUGACCGGCCACAUUGGGACUGAGAUACGGCCCAGACUCCUACGGGAGGCAGCAGUGGGGAAUAUUGCACAAUGGGCGGAAGCCUGAUGCAGCAACGCCGCGUGCGGGAUGACGGCCUUCGGGUUGUAAACCGCUUUCGCCUGUGACGAAGCGUGAGUGACGGUAAUGGGUAAAGAAGCACCGGCUAACUACGUGCCAGCAGCCGCGGUGAUACGUAGGGUGCGAGCGUUGUCCGGAUUUAUUGGGCGUAAAGGGCUCGUAGGUGGUUGAUCGCGUCGGAAGUGUAAUCUUGGGGCUUAACCCUGAGCGUGCUUUCGAUACGGGUUGACUUGAGGAAGGUAGGGGAGAAUGGAAUUCCUGGUGGAGCGGUGGAAUGCGCAGAUAUCAGGAGGAACACCAGUGGCGAAGGCGGUUCUCUGGGCCUUUCCUGACGCUGAGGAGCGAAAGCGUGGGGAGCGAACAGGCUUAGAUACCCUGGUAGUCCACGCUGUAAACGGUGGGUACUAGGUGUGGGGUCCAUUCCACGGGUUCCGUGCCGUAGCUAACGCUUUAAGUACCCCGCCUGGGGAGUACGGCCGCAAGGCUAAAACUCAAAGGAAUUGACGGGGCCCCGCACAAGCGGCGGAGCAUGCGGAUUAAUUCGAUGCAACGCGUAGAACCUUACCUGGGUUUGACAUGGAUCGGGAGUGCUCAGAGAUGGGUGUGCCUCUUUUGGGGUCGGUUCACAGGUGGUGCAUGGCUGUCGUCAGCUCGUGUCGUGAGAUGUUGGGUUAAGUCCCGCAACGAGCGCAACCCUUGUUCACUGUUGCCAGCACGUUAUGGUGGGGACUCAGUGGAGACCGCCGGGGUCAACUCGGAGGAAGGUGGGGAUGACGUCAAGUCAUCAUGCCCCUUAUGUCCAGGGCUUCACGCAUGCUACAAUGGCUGGUACAGAGAGUGGCGAGCCUGUGAGGGUGAUCGAAUCUCGGAAAGCCGGUCUCAUUUCGGAUUGAUGUCUGCAACUCGACCUCAUGAAGUCGGAGUCGCUAGUAAUCGCCAGAUCAGCAAAACUUGCGUGAAUAAGUUCCCGGGAGCU